AUACGUAGGGAGCAAGCGUUAUCCGGAUUUACUGGGUGUAAAGGGCGUGUAGGCGGGAGUGCAAGUCAGAUGUGAAAACUAUGGGCUCAACCCAUAGCCUGCAUUUGAAACUGUACUUCUUGAGUACUGGAGAGGCAGGCGGAAUUCCGUGUGUAGAGGGGAAAUGCGUAGAUAUACGGAGGAACACCAGUGGCGAAGGCGGCCUGCUGGACAGCAACUGACGCUGAGGCGCGAAAGCGUGGGGAGCAAACAGGAUUAGAUACCCUGGUAGUCCACGCUGUAAACGAUGGAUACUAGGUGUGGGGGGACUGACCCCCUCCGUGCCGCAGUUAACACAAUAAGUAUCCCACCUGGGGAGUACGAUCGCAAGGUUGAAACUUAAAGGAAUUGACGGGG
rnacentral:rRNA from 1 species